rnacentral:tRNA from 1 species
GAGGUUGUAGGUCAGUGGUAGAACAUUUGCCUAGCAUGUAUGAAGUACUGGGUUCCAUCCUCAGCACUACA